UCAAAACAGGCGGACUUCGGUCCUUGCUGCACCCUUGUCUUUUGCGCACCGUAUUGUUUCCUCGGCGGGGCUUGCCUGCCGGUUGGAACAUUAUCAAAACCUUUUUUGUAGUUGCAAUCAGCGUCCAGAAAAACAAUAAUUAUUA
rnacentral:misc_RNA from 1 species